CACGUAGGGCGCAAGCGUUGUCCGGAAUUAUUGGGUGUAAAGAGCUCGUAGGCGGUCUGUUGCGUCCGCUGUGAAAACUCGGGGCUUAACCCCGAGCCUGCAGUCGAUACGGGCAGGCUGGAGUUCGGUAGGGGAGACUGGAAUUCCUGGUGUAGCGGUGAAAUGCGUAGAGAUCGGAAAGAACACCAACGGCGAAAGCACUCUGCUGGGCCGACACUGACACUGAGAGACGAAAGCUAGGGGAGCGAAUGGG
rnacentral:rRNA from 1 species